GUAUCUUCUCUUAUGUAUUCGAGGAUCUAGCGCAUGUAUGAUCAUUCUUAUUGAUUUGCGUGUUCUCUUGUGUUCCCCUCGUAUUUUCCCCUCGUUUCCCUCCUUGUGUUUUUUGUAUUCAUCGCGGGAUUCGCUCAUUUCGUGAAAGCUCGGGCUAUAGGAUUCCUACCUACAUCACAUUUGGUACAGCGGAGGCUCCUCUCAGUCGCGCACCUCUCGCCACUCCCACUCCACCAGCGCGAACACGAAGGCCGUGCCAGUCCCAUGGCUCGCCUCUGCUACACCACGCCCAUGCCGCACCUCCGCCGCUGCUGCUCCUCUUCCACCUCGCCGCCUUCACGCCACUGGGACCCCCGACCCGCCUUUGCCGCGGCCACGGAGCGCGUCCGCGCCGGGACGCUCAGCCCUGAAGACGCACACCACCUGUUUGACGAAUUGCUACUGCAGGCCAACCCCGUCCCCGAGCGUUCCUUCAACGACUUCCUUGCCGCGCUCGCCCGGGCUCUGUCCUCCGCUGCUCUCAGAGAUGGACACUCCCUUGCUCUCGGCAUCUUCAACCGUGUCUGCCGAGAAGAAGCAGGGCCGUGCGUGACGCCACCCACAGUCUGCACCUACAACAUCCUCAUGGACAGUUGCUGUCGUGCAUGCCACCCGAACCUAGGCCCUGCUUUCUUCGGCCGCUUCCUCAGGACGGGCCUCAAGGCAGACCAGAUCGUCGCCAUCAACCUCCUCAAGUGCCUCUGCCACGCAAAACGGAAGGAUGAGGCUGUCAACAUGCUGCUUCAUAGGAUGUCUGAGUUCGGUUGUGUGCCUGAUGCCAUCUCAUACUCCAUAGUACUUAAGAGCUUAUGUGACGAUAGCAGGAGCCAGCAAGCGCUCGAUCUGCUCCAGAUGGUAAGGAAAGGAGGUGCCUGCUCCCUCGAUGUGGUGGCAUAUAGCACAGUCAUCCGCAGCUUCUUUAAGGAGGGUGAAGUCAGGGCAAUGGACAAGGCAAAGCUGGUCCUUCAGCAGAUGGUUGAUAAUGGUGUUCGACCAAAUAUGUAUACAUGCAUGGAACUCAUUCAUGUACUCCCUUUGCAAGAAUGGAGGAAGCAAAGAAGCUGCAGAAUUUUUUGACUCCAUGACCUCCAAGGGCCUCAAACCUAAUAUCGUCGUGUACUCUACUCUUCUUCACGGCUGCACUUUGCAGAAUGGGCAGGCUGUCUGAUGCAAUGGACAAACUAAAUGAGAUGAUUGCAAUGGGAUUACAACCGAACAAGGUUGUUUAUCAUUCUCUAAUUCAGGGUUUUUGUACACAUGGUGAUUUGGUGAAAGCAAAGGCCUUGGUUUCUGAAAUGAUGAACAAAGGUAUUCCUCGUCCAAACAUUGUGUUCUUCAGCUCAGUAAUAAACAGUCUAUGCAAGGAAGGAAGGGUUACCGAGGCACACGAUAUCUUCGACUUGGCUAUAAACAUUGGCGAGAGGCCUAACGUUAUUACAUUUAGUUCACUGAUUGACGGAUAUUGUUUAGCCGGGAAGAUGGAUAAAGCAUUCGGAGUACUAGAUGCUAACACUUUUGAGUAUUUCAAGGAAAAUAUGUGCAAGAGAAUAAGUAGAUGGAAGUAGAAAAGUCUCUCUAAAGCAGGAAAGAAAAUCUUGGUGAAAGCGGUAGCACAAGCAAUGUCUGACUUACACCAUGCCAUGUUUUUGAUCUAAUAAAAAGCUUUUGUGAUCAGCUUAGCACUAUGAUAGAAACAUACUAGGGGUGCCAGCAAGAGCAUGAGCUUUAAAUUCUUUGGCUUAGUUGGCGAAAAAUGUCAAGGCCAAAAGAAAGUGGAUGCCUUGGCUUUUGUCUCUCCAGCUCUUCAACAUUACCAUGCUAGCUAGAAAAGGAUGACAGUUACUGCAGGCAACAGAGUUUCCUAUGGGCGUUCCUUUCCAAAACACACAUGUUCUACAUGGAGACUCAACCUAGGGUAUAUGUCGUACAGCUGGCUAAGUAUUCUGAAUGGUUGCAACCAACUCCUGGUUGCCACUUUAUGCUCACCUAGGUCGGUGUAGAUUGGCACAGGAUGCUCUGCUUCCUUGUCGGUGCCCUCCAUGAUCACCCUGCAAAAUUUCAGAGGAAAAGCAUGUCAGAGAGGCUAGACUUAUCGUUGAUUCAAUGUUGUCAGGUAACAUGUUGUUUAUCCUUUGUGUUUUGGCUUGGCUAGGUGGAUGCACGUGCCCUCCUACUGUUUAAAAGAAGGAAGGUGUAUGGUCUAUAUAGAUCAGAGCCCUUACAUUUAAAGAAAAAUUAGGCUUCAGUGCAAAUUUAUGCUAGAUACUCAAUAGGCAUAAAAAUAAUAAAUUACAGCCACAGCUAGCUGAAACUCUCCAGCAUUUCUAGGUUCAUGAGCUUGAUGAUUAGUUGUUUGACUCUUUUUAUUGGCAACCAAGAAGUGCAUGUAGUUCUCUCUUCCAACAAACUUACAUCUGGGCCCCAUGCACAUGUUACCGGAGUGGCCGUUACAGCUAUAUGCCAACCCCCAACAUACACACUCAGAGAAUUGAUUUUCAUUUCACAUUGCCUAAGUGACUUUAACCUCCGAAUAGUCACUCUUAAGAAAAGUUCUUGAUUGUGGCCGGUUCAGUCAACGAAUCAGGACUAUACAAUGAACAACACCUAUGACUAAGAUCAAUAAUAUAAUGCUGUGCCUCGGUAGUAUGGAGAUGGCAUACAAACUGGCGGAAUUAUCAUCCUUCUACUGGCUCAAGAACGUUUUUAUUUCUAAUAAUUGACUAGAUGAUUGAAAGAGUAUUACUAGGUUUACCAAAAAAAUAGCUCCAUACUUGCUGAUGAUUACUCCCUCUAUUCCUAAGUGUAGUGCACAUAAAAUUUCUUAGAAGUCAAACAUUGUUUAGUUUGACCAAGUUUAGUGAGAAAAUUAUCAACAAAAAUAAUACCAAAAUUUCUUUGAAUAUGCUUAAUGAUGUACUCCUCUGUAAAGAAAUAUAAGAGCGUUUAGAUCGCUAAAGCAGUGAUCUAAACGCUCUUAUAUUUCUUUAUAGAGGGAGUAUCUAAUAAUAUUUAUUUAAUGUUAUAGAUGUAGAUAUUUUCCUCUAUAAAUGUAGUCAAAGUAGGGGGAGUUUGACUUUUGAAAUUUCCUAUGUGCACUACAUUUAGGAAUAGAGGGAGUAUCAGUAUUCCCCAAUAGGCAGUAAAGUGUGCCAUUGAGUAGCUCCUUUCAUGCUUGAUUAUGAUUAUUAAUUUUGCCCAUUUGGCACUAAGGUAUGCCAUUGGGUAGAUAGAGGAACUGCGAGAAAAAUAAAACAUAAUUAGGAACUGCAAGAAAAAAUCCACACUUUUUUGCACCCAUUCAUCAUACUGGUAGUGUAGAUUUAAUGGAUGGUUAUGGUAAACUGUGUUCUUUCUGUAAAAGUAAGUGCUUAGUGUCCCAACAUAACUUGUGCCUUUACUGGGAGUGUAGAUAAAAAAUAUUCAUCAUUGCAGCUGGAUUAUCUCCAUUUACUCUUACCUGUGAAUUUUGAUCAGAAACCUGGACUCUGUUGUUGCAUCCUUACUUUUAAUACUGGUUAUUACUUUGCCUAUUUGCCUUCCUAAGUGUCCAGUGGACUCGUUAGCAAUAACCUGUAUUUCUGCAAUUAAGAUGGACUGGAUGUUAUGUGGUACUAAGUGCCUGUUCGGAAACUCUCCCAUCCCUUAAAGUCCGCUCCGCUCGAGAGCUGGUUUCAAGCAACUCCCUGCUUUUGUGCUGGCGCUCCCUCCGCUCCGGGAGCCGCAGUGAGGGACCGGAGAGAAUCCGAACAGAGCCUAAAUGCAUCAUCUGUGUGACAGUAAUUUAUGAUAGCAGGUUGUUUUAGUCCAUUUCAGGUAUUUUGGAGGCUCACUUCUAACGGAGGAAGCAGAGAGAAGUUUUCCGUACAUUAUGUUAAUUAAGUUUCGUUGAAUCGUAAUAGAGCUUCCGUAUUAUGGAAGGCGAGAUGUGGUCGGCCAGUCGUGUGGAAUAUGUUGUCAAAUUAUUGUUACUUUUUUGUGAAAGGCACCUUCCCACUACAUUUAUCUGGUGAUAGACCAAAUGUGACGAGACGGGGGAGAUAAGGUGGAAUAAAGCAGUAUAAGAUGGGGUACUACUAUAGUAAAAAGAACCAUGUUGAUGGCGAGUUAUUUGGAAAUAGUGAAGAUUAUUGUGCCCCAAUGCCUAUUGAUGGAUCACACAUGGCAGUCUUGGUGGCGCCACCAUGCAUGCGUGGGAUCGACAGGAGCGAAUUAGCGGUCCCAGCCGACGAGUGAGAGGAGGAAGGUUCGGUAGUUCCCCGACGUCUCGGAGUGGAUAGCUUCAGCCAGCGACCCCUUGUACUUGUUGUGGUACUCUGCCUUGAUGUACUUCAUGUCAACCUCGGUCCUCGUCACCGCCACCCGUGUGAGCGCCGCGUUGCUGGUGCCCAGGCCUUUCAUCGCCUUGUGCAGGACCUUGGCAAAGUACUUUGCCGGAGUGUCGGCGCACCUGAGGAUGGUCAGCAGCCCGAACUGGAAGUUCCCUGUCGUCUCACUCUUCACGGCCUGCAAAUUCGGGACCGGGCGUACAUGUGCUGGUAAGCGUUGGCCACGGACACCAUGUGCGCCCAGCUGCGUUCGCUGAAGAUGCGGAUGAAGGCCCGCUCAUCGGUGCCCACCCUCUUCUCGCCGGCUUGAUACAGCUCCCUCGCGUCGUCUGUCACCGCCGAAGGAUCAACUUCCGGGCCUUCGUUGCGCCGGACUCCCAGGUGCGUUCGGUGAUGUCAUGCUCGAGGUAGCAACCGAACCUCGCGCGGUAGGUUUGCUUCAUGAUCUGCAGCUGCGACGGCGUCCUGGAGCAGAUUACCUCCGUGGCGGCUCUCAGGUCGGUGAUGUCGCUGUUGAGAGCCUGGUUCAGUAUGGUCGCGUCACGCCCCACGGGGUCGAGGACCCAAAGCAGCAUAGCAUUCUGCAACCACAGCCAUGCAGGAUGAGCGCGCGCUGCGCCGAGUCGCGGUGAGCAAGUAUGUUAGUCACCGUCGUGCUGUCGCAGCCGAACCCUGCACAAUACAAGAAAACCACCGGCUGUUACACAGAAAACAUCGAUUGUUGCUAGACAGGAUGGAAGAAAUAGUUCAUCGUUCGUUUCAUCUCUGUGUACCUUUGAAGGCCUUGUGGAGAGCGACGGCGUCAUCACGCGGAGGCGUGAGCACCGGAGGCACGCUCAGGCUCGCCAUCGCUCGCCUGCGUGGCUGGACGAUGGUUUCUUUUCUGUGAGUGAGACUCUGUGUGCUGGUGCUGCGUACGGGGGGAGCUUUUUAAAGAGGGAGACGCGAAGCUUUCCCCUUAGACGCUAGAUUCGAUUUCUCUUUGGAAAUUACAAGGAUGAGAAGCACAACCCGCUCAUUCUUUGAUUCAGAAUAUUUUGAAACAGCACUACUACCUCCGUCUGCGUUUAUUAGUUUCCACUAGCCAAAAUACCUGUGCGUUGCA